UCUGGUUGAUCCUGGCAGAGGCCACUGCUAUCGGAGUUCGAUUAAGCCAUGCGAGUCGAGAGGUGUAAGACCUCGGCAUACUGCUCAGUAACACGUGGACAACCUACCCUGAGGAGGGGGAUAACCCCGGGAAACUGGGGAUAAUACCCCAUAGACUAUGGAUGCUGGAAUGCUCUGUAGUUACAAGGCCCGCCGCCUCAGGAUGGGUCUGCGGCCGAUUAGGUUGUUGUUGGGGUAACGGCCCAACAAGCCUGUAAUCGGUACGGGUUGUGGGAGCAAGAGCCCGGAGAUGGAUUCUGAGACACGAAUCCAGGCCCUACGGGGCGCAGCAGGCGCGAAAACUUUACAAUGCGAGCAAUCGUGAUAAGGGAACUCCGAGUGCCCGUAAAAUCGGGCUGUCCGCCAGUGUAAAUAACUGGUGAAGAGAGGGCCGGGCAAGACCGGUGCCAGCCGCCGCGGUAAUACCGGCGGCUCGAGUGGUGGCCACUAUUACUGGGCUUAAAGCGUUCGUAGCUGGUCUGUUAAGUCUCUGGGGAAAUCUUCCGGCUUAACCGGAAGGCGUCUCAGGGAUACUGACAGACUAGGGACCGGAAGAGGUGAGAGGUAAUCCAGGGGUAGGAGUGAAAUCCUGUAAUCCUUGGGGGACCACCUGUGGCGAAGGCGUCUCACCAGGACGGCUCCGACAGUGAGGAACGAAAGCUGGGGGAGCAAACCGGAUUAGAUACCCGGGUAGUCCCAGCUGUAAACGAUGCGCGUUAGGUGUAUCGGUGACCACGAGUCACCGAGGUGCCGAAGAGAAAUCGUGAAACGCGCCGCCUGGGAAGUACGGUCGCAAGGCUGAAACUUAAAGGAAUUGGCGGGGGAGCACCACAACGGGUGGAGCCUGCGGUUUAAUCGGACUCAACGCCGGGAAACUCACCGGAUAAGACAGCUGAAUGAUUGCCGGGCUGAAGACUCUGCAUGACUAGCUGAGAGGAGGUGCAUGGCCGUCGUCAGUUCGUACUGUGAAGCAUCCUGUUAAGUCAGGCAACGAGCGAGACCCA
rnacentral:rRNA from 1 species